rnacentral:rRNA from 1 species
GACGGGGGAUGCAAGUGUUAUCCGGAAUCACUGGGCGUAAAGCGUCUGCAGGUGGUUUCCUAAGUCCACUGUUAAACCUUGAGGCUCAACCUCAAAUCUGCAGUGGAAACUAGGGAACUUGAGGAUAGUAGGGGUAGAGGGAAUUUCCAGUGGAGCGGUGAAAUGCGCAGAUAUCGGGAGGAACACCGGUGGCGAAGGCGGUUCUCUGGGCCUUACCUGACGCUGAGGAGCGAAAGCAUGGGGAGCGAACAGG